UAGGGCGGCCAUAGCGGUAGGGAAACACCCGUACCCAUCCCGAACACGGAAGUUAAGCCUACAAGCGUUUCGGAGAGUACUGGAGUGGGCGACCCUCUGGAAACACCGAUUCGCCGCCCCCA
rnacentral:rRNA from 1 species